GCACAAGCGGUGGAGCAUGUGGAUUAAUUCGAUGCAACGCGAAGAACCUUACCUGGGCUUGACAUAUAGAGGAUCGCUACAGAGAUGUGGUUUCCCUUGUGGCUUCUAUACAGGUGGUGCAUGGUUGUCGUCAGCUCGUGUCGUGAGAUGUUGGGUUAAGUCCCGCAACGAGUGCAACCCUUGUCUUAUGUUGCCAGCACGUUAUGGUGGGGACUCGUGAGAGACUGCCGGGGUCAACUCGGAGGAAGGUGGGGAUGACGUCAAAUCAUCAUGCCCCUUAUGUCCAGGGCUUCACACAUGCUACAAUGGCCGGUACAGAGGGCUGCGAUGCCGUGAGGCGGAGCGAAUCUCUUAAAGCCGGUCUCAGUUCGGAUUGGGGUCUGCAACUCGACCCCAUGAAGUCGGAGUCGCUAGUAAUCGCAGAUCAGCAACGCUGCGGUGAAUACGUUCCCGGGC
rnacentral:rRNA from 1 species